CAGUGACGGUGAUAUGAGUCCAUCUUUCCUCCUCUUUAAAUACCAUUAGGACUCUGCUAAGGUGAAGGCCACAAGAAGGAAGACACAUGACAGGGGAAGUGAGAGGGUCCUGGGGAAACCCCCUGCUCUACCGGGCUUCUCCGUUACAGAGAGUGGUCAUGCCGUGGCUGCAUAGGAGGGCGAUGCCCUUCAGGGAGGCCUUGUUGAAUCUGUCUGGGACUGUUCCGGAAGGAGGAAGGGCGGCGGGUGGGGCGGGGAGACAGCUGGAAUGUUCUGGCCUGCUGCUCAGUGCAGUCAGUCUGCAAGAGAGGAGGGCCUCUGGACAUCAAAGGUUCCUUUUGUCCCUUUCCGAGUGGCAGGGCAGCCGGGCCACUGGCUAUGACUCAGGCCUGGCCCUGACGUCACCCACGGCCUGUCACUGGCCUCGGUUUGCAGCCAGGAACCUGGCCAGGGAGUGGUUCUCAUAGGGGCAGCGAGUCUCAAAACGGGGAGCUCACUGCUGUGCUCUCUUCAUCUCCCCACAACCCACCUCAGUUUUUUCUUCUUUUUUUUUUUUAAAGCCUGAUGGAGGCCUUUUCCUGUAGAUCAGCUUCCCAAAAGCAGUCAGAAUGAGUGACAUCAUGAGAAAAUUAUGUGGAGCAGAUCUCAACCAGAAGUUGAGGAAUCCCAGAGGAAGAAUGCAGUGGUAACUCCUGAGCCCAGGGAGUUGGCAAGAGUGUGGGCUUCCAAGGAGCCAGAACCUCCGAACCGGGCCUUCUUGAAGCAAGGCUAUACCGUCCUACUGUUCCUCUGGCUGAAAGAUCUGAGUGCCGUGUGACAAAUACUUUGUUGAACCAAGACUCUGAGGCUGAUAUGCAAUGUCACUUACAACAUUAAUCAGAUACUGCAUUUAAGGCUUUCAAGCUGUUCAGCGUACAAUUUUUGGUGUGUGUGACAACCGCAUCUCUAAAACUUGUGAGCAAGAAGACGGAGAAAUCAGUCGGUCUCCAUCGCCUUGCCUAAAGAUGGCCGAGGGUCUUGUCAUGCUAGCAGCUCUCUGAGUGGUGCGUACAGACCAGCAUCAUUAACGAUUGCAGAAGCAUGGGACCCAUUGUCACUCGCUCUUGGACAAAUAGUGAGCUCACCGUUUAGAGUUAAAACACUUGCUGUGCAGAAAGAUCCGAACAGAAUGCCUUCCAUCUUGAUAGGCCAGCACAGAUCAAUCAUUUCCAGUGAAGUUGCAUCUUAACUGCAAGACCCGAUGGAUGAACUGCAGUUGUUCUAGCAUGAAUGGAUGCCUGAUAGAUCUCAUGCUCGUAUCGUAGACUCUCCAUCCUUUUGUUUUCAACCUAAGCAUGGCUACCGUCAUCUUGUAGCUUUUCAUAGCUAAUGGUUUUUUUUUUAAUGACAUUAUUCAUUUGUGUUGCUCUUAGUCAUGCCUAACAGAAUUUCAAAUAUAAUCCACAGAGCCAGAAAACCAAACAAAACUAUUGGGAAAUACACAGAACCAUUAUCACCCUAAUAAACAGGCGACUGAAUGGGAGAAUUAUUAUUUAUUGCGUUGUUGUGUGUCGCUUAGUGCGAUGUUUGCCAAGGCAUAAAGCUUUUCUAAACUUACCCAUUUACAAUUAUUAUUGGAUUUCCUAGAUUAGCUGAAAUGAGGGAAAAUGGUGCUUACCCCUCCGUGUUUAACCGACGAGGUAGGCUUAACUCAUUUACACAUUUUGGCUGAGGUGCUUGCAUUGGGCAGGCCAGAGCAGGCGUGAGAGGAAGAAUGUGCAAACGGCUGCUUUGUUCUCAUACCGAACGAACGAACGAACGAACGAACGAACGAAAUGGGGGAGCGUGUGGUUUCUCUGCCUGAAUGAUUUAUAGUAUAAAAUUCUCAACUCAUGGUUGUCUUUGGGGAAUAGAAAAAUGUUUUUUCCCAAGCUUUAAUUCAGCCGGACUGCAAGGCUUCAUCUCCAGCUACUACACUGAUGUGACUCUAACUCGGCCUUUUCUGAGGGUCCCCUGUAGCUAGUCUGGUGACCAGGCCACAGCUUAGACUAAUAGCCUCUUUAUAUGUGAGGAGAAAAAAAAAUCUAAAAAAUAACCUAGCACCUUUCUCUUUAUUACUAAAUCGUGCUGAGUCAGCCUUCAGUUUCUGGUCCCACAUAGCUUGUUCUAACAGCUAACUUCCCCAGGUUAAAUAAACACUUGGCAUUUACUGAGUACCCACUAUCUACCAGCCUUAUUCCACGAGCUAGAAACACAAUCAUCAAGGCGGAGCAGAGCCUGUGUCUCAUGAUCCCAUCUUUACUAGGGCAGGGUAGUCAGUAGGGGAGGGGCAAAAACAAAUGUGCGAACAACUAACAAACACAAGAAGGAAGAGCAGCUGGGCACACUGGUACGUGCUCUUAGUUCCAGCACUGGUGACAGACUGUGAGUUCCAGGCUAGCCUGAGCAAGUAACCCUGUCUCAAAAACACACAAAGAAGAAAAGCUAACAGUUAAAAAGCCAGGGUGAUGUCUGUAGGGAGUGCCCCCCUUGCAAUGGCUGGUUAGGAAGAUCUUCCUGGGGCUGUGGCUUUGGAGCAAAGACCUGCAAGGUAACAAACGACCAAGCCACGCAAGGACCUGGUGGGGUCGUGUGCAGCGAGUGUGUAAACACAAGUUGUAGCCCCAUCUUUCUCUGUGGACCCUUCUGCCUGUUGAAGCCAGGCUUCGUAGCUUCAUGGUUGCCCCUGCCUUAGAAAAGCUCAUGCUGUGAGAAGGCCACCCAGGGCCCUGUGGCUGGUUUCAACCUGUCAGACACUAGAUAUGGGUGCCUCUGACCCCAGAAGCGCCUUGAAUCUAUCUGGGAGGGUGAAUGACACUCUUGGCAUUGCAUCCCCAGGAAUGGCGCAAUCCUGGCAGAGACCCAACAUCAACUCAGUAAUGGCCUCUUGGAGCAAGGAAUGUUCUAGAAAGUAUCUUGUUUUGCUUUUCAUAAGGACUCUGGGAUUUAAACUCAUACCAAACCCCUGAGACUUCCAUUUCAUUUUCACCCCCCAAAAGACAAAAUGGAGGAAAGGUCUACAUGUCAACUGGUCAAUAAACAAUCUUUGUCUUGGGGCUGGGGAUUUAGCUCAGUGGUAGAGCGCUUACCUAGGAAGCGCAAGGCCCUGGGUUCGGUCCCCAGCUCCGAAAAAAAGAACCAAAAAAAAAAAAAAAAAAAACAAUCUUUGUCUUGAAAUACCUAAAGCACGUCGUGGGCUCUGUCGUGGCUUUAUGGAUGUAACUGUUUUCUCUGUUAUACUAAUAGGCUGAGAAAGGUCUUACGAGCCAGCGUGCUUCCAUCCCUGCAGGGUUAGUGUGGUGAUGAGGAUCAGAGAGCAGAGAUGAACUGCUGUACGAGUUAAACACCACAUGGUUCUUAAACGCCUUCUGAACUUUCUAGAAGCACGUUCUUGAACAGAGCCUUAACUCAGCAGGUCAUUUAGUACAACAGAGGUGGUCUGACUGGUUUCUCAUGCCUCACUGGUUUUGUGGAGCAGCCUACCACAGGACAACCUUGUUCUAGUUGUUGGUCGUAGAGAUUGCCUGUCACGGGUGGCAGGAAGAGGUGCUUCGGCCAUUCGGUUCCCAUCUCGGUAUAUUUGUUGAGCAUUCUCUAGAGAACUAACAGUUUUCAGCCAGGCAGAAUGGAGGAUGACAGGGUCCCCCUGAGGCUCAGUUCAGGUUCCCACGGAAGGCUAGAUAAUGACAUGAACAGGCACAACUGUGUGUAUCAUUCCUGGUACAGAAGGAAAUUCUUUGUUACUGAAGUCCACUCUUCUGUUUGCAGGCAGCUCAGCCAAUGUCAAGGAGAGGCCUUUGCUUGGGCUCCGUCCUUUCUCUCACCACCUUGCUAAGAAGAGUUGGCUCUUAAUAAGCCACCGUAUGCCUGUCUGCCCUUUUCCAAGCUGGUCUGCCUACAUUGCCAAGUGACCUUAAUAAUGCCUGCCACGUUUAAAUUCACGAGCAGAUGUUAGGUUGAGAAGCCCCUGAAUGCAAAAAUUUGAAUUUGUGGUGCAGGCAAAUGCUCUUGACUUCUCAGGGUGCAUAGCUGACAGUGGGGGCGGGGGUGGGGACAUUGGGGGAAGGCCUGGCUCCUGACAGGUCUGUAGAAAGCUCUCAGGGCAGCAGGUAAGUUGAACCCAGUUGCUAAAUCACUUACCUUUGUUAGGUGAUCCCCACAUGUCACUGCUGUGGCCUAAAACAUCUCAGUGACCACGAAACUGUUUGGGUCUUGCGCAUCUUUCUGCAUUUUUUCAUUUAAUGGCUACUUUUCUGCUGCUGCUGCUCUUUCCGCUCAGGGUUGGAGAUUGGGAUUUGUGUCCACUCUCACUGUGCUAGGCCUGCAGAGGGAGUUUGUUUUCUAGAACUGCUUUGUUUUUACAAAAUGCCAGUAUAAAUACUUUGGGUGUGUAUGUAUGUAGGGGGGGGGGGACUUCCGUCAUGUGCUUUACAUAAGAAAACGGUAUCUUCUUUACCCUUGCUCAGUGCUACCAAAUGGAUAUUUGGAAAUUUCUUUUCCUUCUGCACAGUAAAAUCCCUCACCAGGUCUGAGGCCUCGCUCUAAUUAAGGCCUCACUGUGCCGCCCUUCUCCCCACCACUGAGCUGGCCGAGGAGUGCCUGCCUGAGGGCCUUACAAGCCAGUGAGAUGAGAGAACAAAAGCCACCAGCCGAGAACGUGGUUAAAUCCGAGAAGGGCCCUGCCCUCGUAAUCCUCACCCCACCCCCUUUUUCUUUAUUUCUAUGACUGAGAAAGGGGAAAGGAGGGUUUGGGGUUUUUUUGUUUUUUGUUUUUUGUUUUUUUUCUUUAAGUAGGGACAGGGAGUAACUUCAGAGCAUGCAGGGUAUUGGAAAAUUCACAUGCAGAGAACAGGAGUGUCAUCUGGGAAGUGAAAUGGGGUGGAGGCAGACAGAGAGGACAAUACAAAGGCAGGUUGGAGUGCAGAGAAUCAGAAAAUGGGAAGAAAGGGAGCAGUCAGCAGUCAGCGAAGAGCAAAUGGAGAGGCUGCUUGCCUUUGAAGCCGGGGGUACAGGGUACAAGGGAAAAGUGGAGAGGGCUUGCUGUAGAGAAGUCUUGGAGAGCCCUCAAGUGUAGGCCAGCUGCAAAGAGAGAGUCCUAAGCCACUCUGGUGGUCUUGAGAUUUUUGACAGUGUUCGCUUGAUCCACAUUGCCUAUUGGGCAGCAACCAUUGAUGGAUCUUCUCAGGAGCCUUAUAACAUCUCCCUAUUGGGAUCCAUGAGGAACUUUGUAUCUGAGGUGUCCUGGAAAGUUUAUUUAAGCUGGGCAUGGUACCAUACACCUUUAAUCGCCACACUCCAGAGAUGAAGACAGAGCUCUGAAAGUUCAAGGCCAGUCUAGUCUACAUAGUGCAUUGCAGGCCAGCAGGGUUAUAGAGACCCUGUUUCAAAAAACAAAGGCUCGAUUCUUCAUGCUAAGAAUGCCAGAGAAGACCUCCCCCACUGUCCUAUUAGAUCUCCACCAGUGUUUAAACAAGAUGCAAAAGUGUUUAGUUUGUGCUGUGCCCAAGUACUGUUGGAGCUACAGGGCAGAGACUGGAGGUUUACCUGUAAGGUUUGGGAGAAGGACAGACAAAGGGACCAGUGACCCAAGGGCAGCAUAGACUUUAUUUGGGAAAAGAUGUGGAAGGAUAUAAUCCUAGGACAGAAAAGGGGAAGGGGAUGGAAAAUGUCCCUUUUCUGGCCCCAGGGGCCGGACAGUGCUUAAGGUAGCCAAAGGAAUAAGGUGAACAAUGGGUUAAAGAAUGUCUAUGAGCAGGCUGGAGAGAUGGCUCAGCGGUUAAGAGCACUGACUGUUCUUCCAGAGGUCCUGAGUUCAAAUCCCAGCAACCACAUGGUGGCUCACAACCAUCUGUAAUGAGAUCUGAUGCCCUCUUCUGGUGUGUCUGAGGACAGCUACAGUGUACCUAUAAACAUAAAAUAAAUAAAUUUUAAAAGAAUGUCUAUGAGCAAUAAAUAAACUUUUCCACAAGCCUUUACUAAGGGGUGGUAGGUUAGGGAGGGCAAGAAUCUAGAGAUACGAGUUACUUUAGUUCUAAGAAUUGUUGAUUUUUUAACCAAAGUAGGGUCUUUAUAAAAUGGUGUAACCAUGGCUAAUAGUAGCCCAAAAUGCCUGCUGUAAGCUGCAGGUCCAAGAAAUUCUCUCUCCUAAAUCCAUGCUUCUCUGCACUUGGUUCCCUCAAAGCCUGCCUCCUCCUCCCCCCUUCCCCCUCCUCUUCCUCUCUCCUUCCUCUCUGCCUCCCUCCCUCUUCUGUGUGGUUUGUACUCCUUGACCAUCCCCAGAGGAUAUUCUGCCUGAAUUGCUCAGUCUGCAGAAGAACCAGGACAGGGGGGCAUGGUAACACUUAAUAUGUUCUUUCUUGCUUGCCUCUUACAGAAAUUCAAACCAGACUCACUUGCCCCAGGCAUGGCUCUUUUUCUCUCACUGAAGGACCUGGCCUGAGAAGUUGUUCCUUCUGGAGGUCAUCUGGGGAGUCAACUGCAGACUCAUGCUUAAUUCCUGGUUUAGUUCCCUUCCACCAAACCAACUGCUUUCAGUUGCAGGGAAACUUAGCUGGCUUUUAGAAAUAAAAGAUCAGACAGAAAGUGGCUGAGGCCUUUUUUCUUUUAAUGCAAAAUAAAAAAAUUUUAGUAGGAAUAUGGGGUAGGGUGUUUGCCUAGCAUACGUAAGGCCUUGGGUUCAGACCUCAGCAAUGCCAAAAUAAGAAAAUAAAACUUCAACAAACUGAGUUUAAAGAUGGUGUUGACUUUGCUGGCGUUCACUAAAGAUCUGUGACUCAGGCAGCCCCUGAUCUAUAAAAACCAUGGGCUGCGUUGGACCUGGAAGAGGAGCCAGAUUGUACAGGGCAGCUUGAGCGAGAACAGAGAGGUUCACGUUGGGCUUCUUCAGGUUUCUUCCCUUGUGAGGGUUAAAGCAGAGGGACUUCCUUAUCUGGCCACCAGAGCUGGCCUACUUCAGGACGAUCUACUGAUUUCUCAGAAGGUCAAGCACUAACCUUAAUUCCGGUUUAGUAUUUGGGACCUUAGUGAGAGGGACUCCGUUGUGGUUCACCUAUUGGGAUCGGAAGUGUCCCAGAGCUUUUAUCUAAGCUGGGCAUGGCACGAUACACCUUUAAUGCCAACACUCCAGAGGCAGCCAAAGUCAGAGCUCUGGAAGUUCAAGGCCAGUCUAGUCUACACAGUGCGUUGCAGGCCAGCAGGGCUCUAGUGACCCUGUCUCAGAAAUAUAAAACAACAAAACCAGCGAGUGGAAGCAAAGCUGAGGGUCUUGUGGGUUUCCACAGAUUUUUGUAUCAAUGAAAGAAAAUAUGAAAUGCAAUGUUAACUAUAAUAACUACAAUAGGUACGGCUGUGACUGUGCCCUUCACCAUUAUGGGCAAUGGCAUUUGAAUUUCAUAUGGUUUCUUAUCAUAUAAUGUUCUUCCUUUUGACACUCCACCCAGUCACUUAAAAAUGCAAACCUUGGGCUGGAGAGACGGCUCAGCAGAUUAAGAGAAAACAAUGCUUUUGCAAAGGACCCAAGUUGGAUUCUCAGAAUCCAUCUUGCUCACAGCUGUCUGUCGCUCUAAGUCCAGAGGAUCCAAUGCCUCUGGCCUCCUCAGGCACCUGUGCUGUGUGCACACACCCCACACAGACACAUAUUAUGAAUACACAUAAGUUUAAAACUAUUUUAAGCUGAAAAAUAUAAAGCUAUUUUUAGGCCAUAUAAAAGUAGGUCACAGGUUAGAUUUAUAUUUGAAGAUUGAUCCUUCCUUUCUUCCUUCCUUUCUUCCUUCCUUCCUUCCUUUCUUCCCUUCCUCUCUUAUUGAAACAGGGUCUCCCUUUGAAGCCCAGGCUGGAUUUAAACUCAUGGUCCUCCUGCCGUAGUUAACAGAGUACUGGGAUGACAGGCAUAGAUGACGAUUCUAUUUUGUAAAUUAUAAUCUGUUCUGGGAACCCAUUGGCCAGAUUGAGUCAAUAGGUUUUGUUUAAUUUCUAAUAAUAUUUUUAAAAACUGUGUGCGUGCGUGUGUGUGUGUGUGUGUGUGUGUGUGUGUGUGUGUGCAUGUAUAUGCAUGGCAUGCAUGUGGAGAUCAGAGGAUAAGCUGUAGGGGUCUGGGAAUCAGAUGAAGACCAUCAGACUUGGCAGUACAUAUCGUCACCCACCGAGCCAUUCCACUGGCCCUGUUUCAGGAAAUAUUUUCUAUUUAGUGUUGUCUUCUAAUUUUAUUCCUUUUUCUUAGAAAGCUAAGAUCUGCAGACUGUGAAAUAGCUAGAGCCUUACUGUUUUACACCAACCAUUUUAAUCUCUUAUCUACACGCAGCGAACCUUUUAGUACAAUUUAAUGUUUGUAGACACACUGUAUGUUUCCCUAUUUGAUAUCACAGCACAAACAUUUUAUACCAUUUGAAAGUCCUUCACAAGCUUAACCUUUUCAAACUUUACUAGGAAAAUCUUGAACGUAUGUAGAAGCAAAAAGGCUUCAUGCACAUCCCCCUUCCUCCACUCCAGUUCUUUUGUUAUUUCAAAGGAAAUCCCACAGCUAGCUCAGGCUGUCCUGGAACUCUCUCUGUAGACCAUCCUGGCUUCGAACUCAGAGAUCUGCCUGCCGCUGCCUCCGAAGUCCUGAAACUAAAGGCCUGCACCACUAAGCCCGGCUUUCAUGCCUCAAUUUUUUUUUUUUUUUAAUCUCUGACUCUUGAGCCCAGUUCUCUAAAAGAGAUAGACUCUAAGAGAAAAAAAAAAGGUCUUAGAAAAGAAAUACUGAACUACACAGGGCUAAAAGGAUAAUGUCUGCAACUUUGGAAAGUUCAGGAAGGGGAAAUGUGGAGAGGGAGAGAAGCAGGGAAAGGCCCACCACCACCCUUUUAGUUCUUCUCCAAGCUUGAAAUAUUUCUUUUUUUUUUUUAAAGGCUUUAAACUGUAGAUUAUUGAAACUAUAUAUAGCCUCGGGGCCAAACCCGAGUGCCAAAUGCCAUCGAGUCUCAUGGGCAACAUAUGAAUUUGUCCAAUUAGGUUAUUAAACCAGCACAACUCUAAGUAUCACAUAGACCAUCUCAUAGGACACUGAAUUUCAUGCACUCCACACACUCCCCUUGUCUUUGAUCCCUGCUGCCUUGUAGAGGACACCUUGUGUGGGUUUGAAAGGGCAACGUUUUAGUCUUUUUAGCUGCUAUCUUGGUGUCCUGUGAAGAAAGGGGAACUGUCAGUGUUAAGCUGCCCCCUAAUCUUAAUCAGAAAGCACAUGCAGUAUAACAGAAACGUGGGAAUGAAACGAAAUGAGACACAAAACAAAGACAGCUUCCUGGGCAGGGCCUAGGAGCUGUGGAUCAAAGAUGAGCAAGGAGACAGACUUUUAAGGAGAUUUGAAGUCUUAGACUCUCUUUUUGUCCUUUUUUAAUGAAUUGAAAUGGAAAUUAUUACAAAGAAGACACCACACGUAGUUGUUUCGGAAAAGAAAAUCGUGAAGGAAACCUUUACAGAAAAAAGAGCAUACUUAUGAUAAGACGGGAUGUUUCUGGAAAUUUCCAGAUAGCUCCCCCAUCCUCAGAAGGAUGACUGAGAGAGUCCAGUUAUGAGGAAGGGUGGAAAUUUUUGAAGGACUGGUUUAUUACAUAAGAUUCAGGCCAUUGCUAUGAUAGUUUAGUUAUUAAAACAAUGUGAGGAAAUACUGCUUGCUUCCAGAGAAAUAUUUGGCUCCAAUAAGAAAAAGCAAAACAAAGCAAACAAACAAACAACAAAAAAAAUGCAACUGUUUGUGAAUGCCCUGCUGGCGGUGAGGGCAUUCCACAUGCUAAGACUCUUAAAGCCAGAGCCAAAUUUCACUAGUCACAAGUUGUUGACAGGAUCUGAUCAGGACACCUCCUGGAACACCCUGGAGUCAGACUUAGGUCAUAGGUCCCAAGUGACCCUAGGUGAUCACCCAUGGAAAACCACUAUAAACAAGAGAGGCCCUAACUCAGAAUAGUUGACCUUCAAUCCUCACACCUGCGUGAAAUUAGAGAGCAAGUGUUUCACAUGUAUUAUUUAAUUCAAUUUAAAAACCACCUAGGAGGUAGACAUUAAUACUAAAACAUACUGCACGUUAGACACCAGAGCUGAAGGUCAGAGAAGUGGCCUUAUAUAACGGCAAACCCAGGCUGUCAGCACAGGACUGCAGAAUCCAAAAGGCCAACCAGCCUUGCCCGCCACCUCCCCAGCAGUCCCAGGGAAUCAGCGACAGCAAUACAGCUUACAGACUUCCCGAUCUAUGGGCACUAGUUUUAAAAUCAUUCCCAGCCUCAAUGGAAACAUACAAACAUGCAAUUAGACCAGGAGCUUCUUUGGUUUUGUUUUUUAAGGUUGGUAUCCGCCAUUGCCAGCAAGUUAGCUCAGGCUUUGUGGAAGUUCUCCCUGGCAGUUAUGUAGACAAAAACAGUUCACGCUCCUUUUUUUUUUUAAAGGGGAAAAUGAAUCAUUACUUAAUAAAUGCAGUUUAGUGGAGGUAAUCUGUGAACACUGGCCUAUGGAGCGAGAGAAUAAAAGCGUGCUUGGCAUUGAGAAGGUCGGGAACUGCUCUUUACAUGUGUAUGCACGUUGCCCAACCUGUCAGCCUUCACAAAUGGUGUCUGCAUUUUUAAAUGACACCAUUUUUUCCUGCAUCGUUUAAGGGACUCUACUUUGCAUAUAGUAUUAAAAUCUACUCAACUCACCAAAAAAUGAUCAUAUUCUUAAUGCUUGGUCAGGAACUGGAGUGCAUAAAUGGCAAGCAACCAUAUUCCAGGAAAAUACCCCUUUUCAAAACCUUAAUGUUUCGCCUGGGAGCGAGUCUUUUCCAAAGGACAAAAAAUUAAAAAAAAAAAUUUAAAAAUCGAAGACUCAAUGCUGGAUGGCUCAAAACAAACACCUGCAUUUAGGUGUGCAUGAGGCAGUAGGUGCCACAUUGCGAAUCUGUGUAGGAAGGAUGCCAGCGGACAGUCGGUGGCUUUUUAUUUUAUUUUAUUGCAUGAGACAGUUAGUUCUUAUACCAUGGUGGGAAAUAAUCCAGGCGUCCCCUGACAGCCAUGGGAAAGCACAGGUGACACCCUGAUCCUGAGAACUUGAUGCCCUUAAAACUGCAUAGGGCUCGAAUGUACGAGGCCCGCGCUGGGUGCAGGGCCUGUUCUGUGGCUGCGCAGCCCUGUGCGAGCCUGGCUCUGCAGCGGUGGCGCCGGCUGUGCUGAAGCUUUGCGGCCCGCAGCGCCCCUGAAGCCUGCGCGUCGGCGGGCGCCCGAGGUCUAGCGACCGUCGGGCCUGCACUGCACCAGUGGCGGACCAGGGCGUCCGGGCCCAGCCGCCGGCGUCCAUUUUCUGGGCGGCGCUGCGGCCGGACUCGCAGGUCCGGAAGCGCCAUGGACCCCGCGGGAAGCGCGCGGGCGGCGGAGCGGAGCCCCAUCUUGCUGUGGAAGACAUGGAGGGCCCAGAACCAAGGAUUUCCAAGUGAUUUCUGCCAAAGCACAGAAGCUAACUCUGUUAAGGCUGGCAUGUUCUAACUGAGAUCUCCAGAGCCUGUUCCAACUGCCUUCCAGUCCUGUCUCUCACAAGCCCUGUGGUCAGAGACCGACACCUGCCACCGCUGGAGAAACAUCAGCCAUCCCUCUCCUGUCCUUUGCUCCGUGCAUUCUGGCUUUCUGAAGUGGAUUCUGCACUUGUCCAUCUGUUAGCAAUGUCCUGUCAAAAUCACCUUUUUAUUUUUUAGAUGUUAAAAGUCCCUUUAAAAAUUAUUCUUUUUCUUCUUUUCAAGUGUAUGUGUAUGUAGUAUGUAUGUGUACCUACAUAUUCAAAUACAUGUGAUCGUGUGUAGUAUGCCGCUAUACAUACAUAUUCAAAUAUGUGUGAAUGCAUGUAUAUGUGCCUGUGCCUAUGUGCAUGUUGCGUGUGUGUGUGUGUGUGUGUGAGUGUGUGUGCAAGGUUGAUCUCAGGAAUCUUUCUCAUCAUUCUUCCACCUUAUUCUUUGAGGCAGGGUCUCUCAGUCAAACCCAGAGCUAGUCGUGCCUUGCUCCAAGGAUCCUGUCUUCACCUUUCCAGGCUGGAGUUACAGGUGGGUGCCCUCACCCUCCUGGUAUUUACAUGACAUUUCCAUGGGUGCUGACUAUUCAAAUUCUUGCUUGUAAGAGCUGUAACUGCCAAACCAUUUCCACCUUUUUAUUUUUUCUAAAAGACUUCUUUAUUUUUUUAUUUUAUGUGCAUUGGUGUUUUUCCUGCAGGUAUGUUUGUGGGGGAUGUUGGAUUCCCUGGAACUGGAGUCACAGACAGUUGUGAGCUGCCAUGGGAGAGUUAGGAGUCAAGCCUGGGUCCUCAGAAGAGCAGCCAGUAUUCUUAAAACCCCUGAGCCAUCUCUCCAGCCCCAAAGCUCUUUUUUUUUAAAACAACAGAACCGCCGAUGAAAUAAAACCACAAAUAGUGAUUCUUUUUAAACAAACAUACCUGCAAAAUAAAAGAUUGGUAUCUCUAUUUUAUUCCUUCCAUAUGGAGAUUUUGGUUGACUAAUCUUCUGAAACUGGACCUAAAGAAGUCUCUCUUCAAAGAACCUGGCCUAUCAGGACUUGUGAUGAAAUUUGCUCACACGAGAGAGACUCCUCAUCCUUAUAGUCCAGACCUGGGGACAGCAAAGCGCCCCUUCUCCUGUCUGCCAGCAGUGCUCUGAGUGCUCUAAUUUCCUGUCUGGGGGUCCUGUACUUCUUCCGGCCACUGCCUGGGCAGAUACGGUCUAUUCACAGGGCUGUGGUCUGAGCCUGAAGGCAGGCCUCAGUGGACCAUCUACGUUAGAGCAUGGCAUGUGGUAAGUAAAUUAUAAACAUACACAUGGUGGCAAACAGCUUUUAAAAUAUCAAAUAUGGGUUGGGGAUUUAGCUCAGUGGUAGAGCGCUUGCCUAGGAAGCGCAAGGCCCUGGGUUCAGUCCCCAGCUCCGAAAAAAAAGAACCAAAAAAAAAAAAAAUCAAAUAUGUGGCCCCCUUUCUCAUUUACCAUAUACUGACCCUCUAUCACCCUUCAAGAGGUUUCCAGUUGUCUUGGCUAGGCUUAGAAUUUUACAGAAGAAAUGCCACUAAAUAGAAUUUUCAGAUUUUUUUUUUUAACCAAUUAGGCCAAGCUGUGUAGGAGAGAACAUCUGCGCAGAGUCACAGAUUGCUUUGCCUUGCUUGUUGGCACCAGAGCCAGUUAAUCAUGGAGUUUUAGGUCAGGAGUGCUGGAACAGGCAGGAAGAGAAAAAAAGCCCAUCCUGCUGGGCCCCAUAAACUCCAUAGGAAAGGACAGAAAGAUGAGGGAGGUCACCAUCUGAUUUAAGUAUUGUCUCCCUUCUCCUGACCCUGCAUACAUAGGGUUGGUGGGGGAAGGUGGAGGGCACCUGGAGAUCCCAUCUUUGGGACCCUGGGAAGGAGGGGUUCACCUGCCAUGUUGUCUAGCCCCCAGGAGUGGCUGCAAGGUUAUUUAGGGAGAAGGGUUGAAUACACUGUCCUGGGCUGCACCCAGGACUACAGUAGAAAAGUAGCUAGGCUGACUGAGCUGAGAGCCAACAGGCCUCCGUGUGCCAAGCAUCACGAGAGAAAGGUGAGUCACUAGUAAGGUGGGGGCAGACACUCUGGGGCCGAGCCAGAUGGAGGAUGUGGGGUCAGAGUCCUAGCCAGAGCAGCACUGAGUCAUCAGGGAACACACGCAGGUCCUUCCAAGCCAGGAAGGACCAGACCACAGGCACUAGAAUCACUGCACAGCAGCAAGGGCACACAAAUAGCCUAGGAGCAGAUUCAGUUUCUCCCUUACAGGUGAAACAAGGGCAGCAUCCAGACCAGGCAGGCACCUAGCGAAAUUCAGCGGGAGUGGACCCAGGGAGCCCAUCUUCUCUCUCUCCAAAGAAUCUGCUAGCCACGACUCUGUCCCAGAUCCAAACACCAUCUCUAAAAGAUUUUUAAAAAGAGAAAGCAGAUAACCAAAGACUAAGUAUUUUUAUGUUUUUGACCAGACGAGAUGGACUAUUUAUUUGUUGUGUUUAUUUAAAUAAUUUCAUUUGAAUACCCGCCUCUAUUGUGUGGAAAGGAGAAAGCAGUUUUAGAGAAACAAAGCUAGUCUGCCAUCCCGGCACAUCUGUGAGUGGGGUGACGAGAGUCUGCAGCCCUCCUCACAGAGAAUCAUUGCCAGCCUCCUCCCCACUGCUAAAUCUGGUGCUACUUGGGCUACUCAGUUCCUCCCAUCCACCCACACGCAACUGUGCUGAAGAGCUUCGAGGGCCCGGACCAGAUCUCUGGGCUUCAGGGCACCAAAUUAAGGGACUAAGAAGGAGGCAAGAAAUGGAUAAGACAAUGGGUGGAUUCUGAAGAGAAACCGAAUAACCAGUUUGUCUUGAAAGAUCCUCCAGAGAGCCCAGGACUUGAAUGUGUCCAAAGGUAUCAAAGGGGAAAAGAAGACAGACACAUAGAGAGGACAGAGCAUGGUAUUCUGGGGACAGACAGCCAGAAGCCCGGAUACUGUUGUACAUUAGAGGAGAUACAAGAUGGCUUUGAAUAGGAGCUGCUGUGGAUUCCAUUCUGGUAUCUUUGCUAUUCCUGGAGAUCUAAGGGAGUUCCUGUCAAGACUAUUGUUUGACCCUCACCCAGUCAUCCCUGAACAGAGUUCUCAGCCUAGGCAGGUGGAUGACCACAGUGACCCUCAUGCUGUGUAGGAAAUGGCUAAUAUAGAGCAAAGGUUCCCAACUGGGGGUGGUUUUCUUUUUGUCUUCCAGAGGACAUUUAAGAUAGGGUCAGAUGUAUCCUAGGCUGGCUUCGAACUCAUGAUUUAGUUUGAACCUCCUACCCGUGCUUCUGGACUGCAGAGAUUACAGUGUGUAUGACAACUGGGCACCUCUCCAGCCCCUGCAGACAUUUUUAGUUGUCAUGACUGAGAUAUUGGAGUGGCAUGCGGACAGAGGCCAAGGACACCGCUAAGCACUUUCCAGUAUGCUGGACAGUCCUUCACAGCGAGGCGUCCCAAGUAGAAACAUGACCAAGAAAUGCUUGUUUCCUUACGUCAUCCCGUUCUAAUGACAAAAGUAAAGUAAAAAGUAAAAGACAGCUUUUCUCCUUUUAAGCAUUCCUCCGCAUUUAUGAUAUUCUCUUAAAAACCGUUUAUUAUAUUUUAUUAUUUAAAAUUUAUUAUUUAUAUUAUUUAUUUAUUGGUGUGUGAAUGCAUGAGAGAAAGCACAGGGGAUGGGGCUGGAGAGGGGGGAGAUCACACAGUCCCAGGUACGUGGUACUUGUGGAGGUCAAGUACUUUGGGAAGCGGUUUCUUUCCUUCUACCCAAGUGGGUCCUGGAGCAAACUCAUGUCAGUCUUGGUGGCAGCUGACUUUACCUUCUGUGCCAUCUCACUAGUCCUUCAUAUCAGUUCUUUUUUUUUUCUUUUCUUUUUUUCGGAGCUGGGGACUGAACCCAGGGUCUUGCGCUUGCUAGGCAAGCCCUCUACCACUGAGCUAAAUCCCCAACCCCUCAUAUCAGUUCUUAUCUGGUAAUCUGAAUAGAAACUGAUUUUGUUAAAAAAAAAACAAAAAAAACAAAAAACAAACAAACAAACAAAAACACUAAAGUGAAAGAAUUCCUGUUUAAAAAUUUCAAGGCUCAGCUGGGCAUGGUGGCACAGGCCUUUAAUCCCAGCACUCAGGAGGCAGAGGCAGGAGUUUGAGGCCAGCCUGGUCUACAAAGCAAGUUCCAUGACAGCCAGGACUACACAGAGAAACUCUGUUUUGAAAAACAAAAGAAGAGAAAAAUCUAAGACCCUCUAAGGGCAAAAAGAGAUUUGAAUAAAGAAAGUUAUAGAAUAUCUCUUUGCAUGUCUAUAUGCUUGUGUGUGAGUGUGUGUGUGUGUAUGAGUGAGUGUGUGUGUGAGUGUGUGUGAGUGUGUGUGAGUGUGUGUGAGUGUGAGUGUAUAUGUGUGUAUACACAUACAUACACCCAAGGUUUAACUCAGGAGUCUCCCUCAUCUGCUCUCACAUUACUCCAUUUCCACGGGUCUAGCUAUUCAGCUUGCUCCAGGGAUAUUCUACCUCAGCCUUCCACCUUCCCAGAGCUGAAAUUAUAGGCAGGCUGCCACGGCUGCCCAGCAUUUUCAAGGGUUCUGGGGAUCCAAACACUACUAAGACAUCUCCCUGGCUGUCCACAGUAUAAAACAAACACACUGGAUGGAACAGCUAUCAUGAGUAAGACAUGAUCACGAUAGACAAUUAUGGCUUCUCUGCACCCUUUGCUCUCCAAAGUGAAGUCCCAGAAUCUGAAUCUUUCCCAGCUCCUUCUCACGGGGACGAAGAGCUUUGUCUUGCUUUUUGCAGGUAAAAUACUCACCAAGAAGGACUACUGGGAUAAGGUGGUAGGGAACAAUUGCAUAGUUAAUUGUAAUUUUUAUUAUAAUCUCCCUGGCUGGGUUCCUAUCAGCCCUUUCUGUCUCUGUGAAGAUAUCCCCAGGCUUCAGUCUUAGGAAUCUAUGCUAUAUAGCUUUAAAGACAAACUAGAAUGCUUAAGUUCUGGGUGAUCGCUGGUCUACUUAUUCCAAGAGGCUACAAAUUUAGCCAAACUUCUAUUUCUCUUCUAGCUAUAUACCCUUGUCUUUUCUCUGAAAUGUGCUCCUAUGUUUUGGAAGUUAAUAUCAACACCUCAUCGAUGUGGUCCAAGAUGUUGGCCUGGCGUGCUCCAAACCCCUACAUUUCUCCAGAAGCACAUGUCAAGUCAAGUAUCCAGAGGCAGAGCACUUGCCAGAAGUCUCGGUCCUAGCACUGAGGCUGCCAAAAUCUCUCCUGCCCUUUAGGGAGACCUACCUCGUCCCUUCAGUAACAACAGACAGCAGGCAAGGCUACCCCUCAACGACUCCAGACCACUGUCCAUCAGGUGAUUUGUGAAUGAACAACUUAGCCCUUAUGAGGUAGAGGUGCAGCAUCAGCACAUACUGUGCAAAAGAUCCGAGCAAGAGGAGCUGCUUUGGGCUUCAAUAACUGGCAUAUGGUGGCUUAGACCUCUCUCUCUCUCUCUCUCUCUCUCUCUCUCUCUCUCUCUCUCUCUCUCAUUACAAAAGAAAGGACUAGAGGAAUACAGUUCACAACUGGCAUAGAAACUCAAGGUUUCAGAACCAGAGCUCUUUUAAGCUUUUUGUUGUGAUCACAAAAUGGGUGCUGCUGAAUUUCCAGGCAUCUGUCCUCGUUUAACAAAAGGAGAUGGUGGGGCUAUGGGAGAACAUGGCGACAGUCUUCAGUAUCCUUCCUGAUGGGGAACACAGAGUCUUUUGGAAGAUCAAAGGGGACUCCCUCUCAAGUCUCACCCAGUCAUAGAACCAGCACAAGCUACCAAGGAUCCUGGAACACGUAAGGGAGACGUUUGGGGAUGUCCGUUGCUUUAAGCAUGACACAAAACAUCACACAUGUAGCCUGGCAUCUUAGACUAGUGUAGUCCUGAUAGUGAAAGAGGGGAAACCCCAAAGCUGGGAACUGAUUUUUUUCAAGUCUUUCAGCCCAAACAGUGCUACUUUGGAUCUAGAAAUAGAAGAGUGACCAUUCUUGCCAGCUUUGCCCCAUGGGUUCUGAAACAUAAUGCCCUUGGCUUGGGUCUUGACCUUCUCUUAGCAGGCAUCCCAAAGCAGUGAGAGUCCCAUUAUAGGACAGAAUAAAAACCAUAACCACUCCAUCCUCCUCACACCAUACAGCCAACCCCCAAGAUGCCAAUGGGCAACCCAAUGGGUCCUCCUGGAAAUCAACAACUAGGGAAAGACUGAAGUGUUUGGGCAGGCAGGUGGCAAGCAGCCUCAAGAUGGAAACCUUUGAACUCAAUUUGUAGCCACAGAGUGAUAGGAUACCUGGAGAUUUCUUAAGUCCAAAAACAGCUUACAACAUUGUAUUCACUUUUCCUACAUUCUGCAACAACCCGCAAAAAGAAAAAAGAAAAAAAAAAAAAAGGAAGACGUUUACCUCUAAGCCACUACUAAGAACAGAGUAUGACCAGCGAGCUUCUGUCCUCUGCCCUCUCUGCCAUAUAUGAGCUGCUUGUGACACACAGCCCAGCCCAUGGUGAAGACUUCAAACCACAUGCCUUGCCUCUUUCCCUUUCUUCUUCCUCACCUGACUUCUGACAUCCUGCAUGCCUCUGGCCCUAAACUUUUACCAAAGCUCUUGCUUAAGCCCUCUGGCUCUGUGGUGAGCUCUGGUUUCUCUUCCCAGCUUAAGGUGCAGAGUUGUGGCACACUGGUUAGCCACUUCUCUGAGCAUCCCAUCUUAUGCCUUUGUUCAUUCUUAAAUCAUUCGGUUGAUGCCUCCUGUGUCUGCUUCAUUUUCCAUGUACGUACGAGUCAAGGGCACAGUAUGGUCCAGCUUUCAAGAGCUGCACACACAGCUGAACAGAGAGGACUCCUUUGCUAUGAGCGUUACAGGCAAUGUCUGUAUCCACGGGGCAUCACACUAGACCAAAGGAAGAAGAGGCAAGUCUAUGGGGCAGAUUCAGGAGGAGCCUUGGGCAGUAAGUGUGUCAAGAUAUUUUUAGUUGAACACAGGCACUAUCACUGGAAGCCAUGAUGGGAGGACAGAACUCUCUGGCUUCGUGACUAUUGAUCCCCUCUCUCAUCAUAAAACAUUGAUUUGCUCCAACUACCUGCUAACAAGCAAGGCACGUUAUCUCGUGAUGAAGGGCCUGUCUUCAGGUCUCGGGAUAUUAACAAUAAUUAGAUUAAGGUAGUUUACACAUUCAGAAUGAUUGUAAGUGAGUCUUAAGGAAAAAUCCUGGUCAGCGUACCCCACCACCAGAGGUUGCUGUUCCCAGCUACAACAACCACCUCAUGAUUAUGAAACAAAAGCCAAGAAUAUUACAGAGGCACUAACUCCCCAGGGCCACCUUUAACAUCAGUGACUUUUUUUUCAUUUUUUCCACUAUGAUAAAUGCAUAUCACAUAAAAUGUGUCACCUUGGGACUAGAGAGAUGGUUUAUUCUGCUCUUGUGGGACCCGGGUUUGGUUUUCAGAAACCAUAUGGUAGCUCACAGCCACUGUAAUUCCAACUCUAUGCCCUCCUCUGGCUUUGGUGGGCACCGUAUGCACUUACGUAUGCACAGGCAAAACAUUCACACGUAUAAAAUAAAAUUAAAUAGAAUUGUUUUUAAGAUCGUCACCUUAGCAUUAUUAAGCACGUAGUUCAUUGUUGAAUAGCUUUUCCCACCAUCCAUCUCCAGCGCUCGUUCCAUGUACGAAACCCAAACUUCACCCAUCAGACACCAACUCCCCGUUCCUCCCCUCCCCCAGUGCCUAGAAAUCCCAUUCCGCUACUCUCUGUUGAACUUGGACCCCUUAGGUACCACAUAUAGGUAGAAUAUGCUUUGCGACUGGCUUAUUUCACUUGACACGUUGUCUUUGAAGUUCAGCUGUAUGGUAGCAUGUGUCAAAACUUCCCUUUUUUAAAACAAUUGAGUAACAGUCCCUUGUGUGUCUACACUAUAGUUUGUUUUUCCAUUCAUCUUUUAGUGAGGGCUUGGUUGCUUCCACUUUUGACCACAGUGAAUGAUGCUGCUGAGGAAAUUAAUGAACAAGUGACUUUUCAAAAAAGCUCUUACCCAGAUGUGUUGAAACGUACCAUAGUUCUUUUUCUAAUUUUCAGAAUAACAGUAAACAUUUCUUCUCUAUGGAAAAAAAAAGAGUAUAAUUGUUUAAGAUGUUUCUGGACACUUUUCUGUUAGUUACAGCCCAGGUCUCCUAACUGUGCCCAUGAGGGAGGGAGAGUUGUAUAGAGGGAGUGGUGUAGACACGGAGUGCCCUGUAUAAAGAGAGACACUGGACUCAUUUAGGGGCUUGCAGUCAGCUUAGUACAUCAACACAGAUAGCAUAGAGAUGUAUCUCGCUUUGCUUGAAGCAAUGGAAACUUCUGCUUAGUUCAAGUAAGAAGUGACUUCUUUAAAUGUGUUAGGUGACUAAGAAUCCCUUGGAGAAUCUAAGAGUCAAACUGCAAAUGUUCCAGCCAAGAACAAGAACCAGUUUUCAUGAACAGGGUGCAGACACUGUGGAAGUGUGGAAGCCUCAGGGCUUCACUUCUACUGGCUGAGGUCUUCCCGAGACACCGUACCAACAUCGGCUUCCGUGCAGCCUUCUCCAGCCCUGCCUUUCUGUGACUAGAAGCAUCAGUGCUUCCCAUCUGUCAGCAAGACUUUAACCUUGACAUAGCCUCUCCCAAGCCAGAAAAAAAAAUGGGACAGAAAUUCAGGGAUAUUCCACAAAACAAUGGACAUGAAUCCAUUAAGAAUAUCAAGCCUUGCCUAACUAAAUGUUUCCCUCCUGCUGGCUUGCAUUUAUGGUACUGGAAGGUACUCUGCAUAGUACAUAGAAGGGUAGCCAUCAACCUAGCCACCAAACCCUGUGACCUACCACAGUGUACCUGGCUCCAAGAUAUGCUGGUACGAUAGUGGCUCAAAUGUGGUGGGAGUAACCAAUCACUCCCUGGUUGGAUUUAAGGCCAACUUCAUGAGAUGGGACCCUUUCCUGCCACUGCUUGGGUGGCAAAAACCUGAGACUGGGUAGAGGAAAUGCCUAAGGGGAAACCAAACACCAUUGCUCUAUUAAAGGAACACGGCAAUAAAAUGGCGUCUAUGAUAUUCUGCUGUAACUAUAGAUAAGCGUCCCACUCAGCCAUCACCAGAGAGGCUUCUUCUUGCAGUAGAGAAGAGCUGACGAUAGAAACCGCUAACUGGACGCUAUGCAGAAGGUAAGAGACUUUGGACCCUAAAUGGGAUGUCAACCAAUCCCUCCCCUCAGGGCUCAACAUCUACUCUGAAGAGGAGGCAGAACAAUUGUAAGAGCUAGAGGUGAUGGAUGGCUCCAAGGAAGCAGUGUCCUCCGGACACAGCAGGACUGAUGCAUUUGUGAACUAUGGAGGCAGACAUAGGCUGUGCAUAGGUUUAAGCCAGACGAGGUCUCAACACUGAGAGGGGGAAGUGGGCACGGCUUCCCACUCCGAACCAAGAAACUGUCUGUAAUUGAUACCUACCUUCAAAGGAAAAGUUAGUUUUUCUCACUGGAGUCUCACUGGGCAUAUUGACUACAUCAGUGUAGGCACCAUGCUUCUUGGACAAUUUUUGGUCUUAGUGGUCUUUUGUUUGUAUACUUUUAUUUUCAUUUUUGUGUUCUUGUGGUGCGUGCGUGCGUAUGUGUGUGUUUUUUGUGGGGAGGAUCUGGAAGUGAUUGGGGGAGGGGAAACUGUAAUCAGAAUGUAUUGUCUGGAAAACCAUUUUUUUUUUACAAUUAAAAAAUAUGAAGGCUGAGAAAGACAUGGAAAAAUUGAAGAAUUGUUCCAGAUUAGAGGAAAGCAAAGACACCGGGUGAAUGCCAUUCAGAUCCAGGAUGUUCUUUCUGCUUCUAUGAAGAUUAUUGAGUUAAUAGAAAAGUGAAUUAAAGCCUGUAGAUUAGCUAGGGUGUUUUAGCCAUAUUGAUCUUCAUACUUUGUAAGUAUACUGUGUGUAGGAAGAGAGCUCUUUGGUUUAAGAAACAUACACUAUUUAGAGGUGGAAAGCCACUAUUCCCGAAGGGUUCUGGAACACAGAAGGAAAGAUAGUGGCAAAGCCAGGAAGAAAGUGUUAGUAUCACUGAGUCAAAGGCAUUAUAUAUAGGCCUGGAAUUACACCUGGAGGGAAAACGCCUUAAAACAAUGCAUUUCCCGGGGCUGCAGAGAUGGCUUCCUAGGAAUGGGGUCUGGAGGUGCAAUGCUGAGCGCCCAUAUGAAGGCCAGGUAGCUACAGAAGUGCAUCUGUAGGCCCCGAUGUUUGACGACAGAGACAGGGGAAUCCGAGAGACAAGCUUGCUAACUAGACUAGCUGAAUUGGCAAGCUCCAGUUUCAGCAAGAUCUCAGUUGCCUCAGUAACUUAAGUGAAGAACAGUAGACAGAGACACCUGUAACCCACUAACCUCCACACAGACGCACACAGCUACAACAAUACACCUUUGGACCCAACAAAUGAGAUGCAGGUAUCUGUGGUUGUCAAGACUCGGUAACAUUUUGUACUGACUUGGGGGCAAAAGUCCUCUGUCCUGAGUUCAGGGUAUCUAACACCUACUUUUCUCAACGGAGUGACAUCAAGCCUCCUGGAAUACCCCUGAAAGCUUGACCUUUUGUCUGUCUUCCCCAGGAACAGUAAGUUAUUCAGAUUCCAGGCUCUAAUGGUCCCCAGGAAUGAGAGAGUUCCCUGAACCUAGCACCUUCUGGAGGGAGUGUCCCUCUGUGCAAUCUAAAGGUCUACAGGAACGGCCUUGAUUUGCUGUAGUAUAUACUGUGCCUUCCUGAGUCACUGGGUUUCAGCCUAAUCGACUUCUUGUGUCUCAACUUUUCUAGAUUUCUCAACUAGUAAGAAGUCAGAUAGUGUCUCUGAACUACCCACCACUGUGCUCUGAGGGUCCUCAAAGACCCCCUUUGGUGGUGCUGUGCUUUCUUCUGUUGUCUGGGGUGGUAAAUGGCAAGGUGACCCUCCCCUCUCCACUUGCCUGCAACAGAACCAUGCUGUAGCUGCCUCCUCACUUCUCAGUGUGCACAGAGGAUCCCUGCUCAUGAUUUGUAGGGAUCUGAGGCCUGCUCUGGGGCUAGUGUUAGACAUGUUGCUAGUCCCUUGUGAAAACAUAAGAGAUGUCUCUGGAGUGUGAAAGACUGAAGGAGCCCUGGGGUGACAGGCUGAGGUGCCCGCUCCAGGUAACAGAAAAAGUAGACGAGAGUGCAGAAAGGGGAGAUGCCCUGGGGAGAGCUUCCCCCAAGGACUGAGAUGGUGGGCUAAGGAUGUACAGGAGCUGAAGGGUAAACUGAGGAAAUGUGGGAGAUGCAUGUUUGCAACUGUUAGCUGGUAACUGGAGGAGACAGGGAUAGAAUUGCAGUUCAGAACAAUGUCCAGGCAACCAGCAUCACUGGUACAUGGGAGGGGGAUAGGGUGGCAACCAGCAUCACUGGUACAUGGGGGGGAUGCUGCUCUGAGCACUGGUAGAGUCUAAGCAGCAAUGUCCUGCCAUCUAUGACUGAGCCAUUCUCCUCUCUUCCCCUAGACCUGCCUCCAGAGAAAAUGGAACCUCAGUGAGUACAAAAAGAGGCCAGAAAGUCAGCAGUAUCCUGCUUCAACUCUGCUUUGAGACUCCCAGAUGGUGACAGGUCUGAUUCAAAGGAGAGGAGAAGCCAGAGCUUUGGCUGUUAUCCUCAACAUGAUGCUUAAAUUCUUUUUUUUUUUUUUGGUUCUUUUUUUUUCGGAGCUGGGGACCGAACCCAGGGCCUUGCGCUUCCUAGGUAAGCGCUCUACCACUGAGCUAAAUCCCCAGCCCCUCUUUAUUUUUUUUUAUCAUCCAUAUCCAUAUCUUUUUAUUGGAUAUUUUUUAUUUACAUUUUAAAUGUUAUUCCCUUUCCCAGUUUCCCAGACAUAAGUUCCCUAUCCCAUCCCCCUCCCCUUCUUCUAUAAGGGUGUUCCUCUCCCCAUCCACCCCUCCCGCCCCCCACACCCCCGACAUUCCCCUACACUGGUCCAACCUUGGCAGGACCAAGGGCUUCUCCUUCCAUUGGUGCCCAACAAGGCCAUCUUCUGCUACAUAUGUAGUUACAGUCAUGGGUCUGUCCAUGUAUAGUCUUUGGGUAGUGGUUUAGUCCCUGGGAGCUCUGGUUGGUUGGCAUUUUUUUUCUUAUGGGCUUAAAUUCUUUCUUUUUCUUUUUCUUUUUCUUUUUUCUUUUUUUCAGAGCUGGGGACCGAACCUAGGGCCUUGCGCUUGCUAGGCAAGCGCUCUACCACUGAGCUAAAUCCCCAAUCCGAUGGGCUUAAAUUCUUGAAAUGAAACUUUGGGAAUCAUUAAAAGAGGCUGAAAGGGUGGUGGGAAUGGCACCAGAGUACCAUGCACUUAGAGCUAGAAAGAAGUGGUGUUGGGAGAAGACGACAAAUAAAAUUGUUUUUCUGCCUGUAUGGAGCCCUGCUUGCCCUUGGUA